GAGAACUGAGGGGGGCUGCUCCUAGUACGAGAGGACCGGAGUGGACGCAUCACUGGUGUUCGGGUUGUCAUGCCAAUGGCACUGCCCGGUAGCUAAAUGCGGAAGAGAUAAGUGCUGAAAGCAUCUAAGCACGAAACUUGCCCCGAGAUGAGUUCUCCCUGACCCUUUAAGGGUCCUGAAGGAACGUUGAAGACGACGACGUUGAUAGGCCGGGUGUGUAAGCGCAGCGAUGCGUUGAGCUAACCGGUACUAAUGAACCGUGAGGCUUAACCUU
rnacentral:rRNA from 1 species